UUUGGUUUAAAUGUCAAUAGCUUCAGAUGGGUAACUUUUAUUUCUCAUUCCAGAUGGAUUAAUUAAUAGGUAUUCUAAUAUGUUAUUGUAUUCUUUAAUUCAAAAAUCUAUUUCCUAUCUCCACCUCACCCACCCUUAAUUUCUGAAAUGGGGAUGCAUUUCGUAAUGGAUAAAAAUGUACUUAUAUAUUUGUUAUGUCUAAAAAACAUUAAGGCAAAGUUAUACACUAUAACUGGUAGAAUCCUAGAAUCAAAGAGAAAAGAGUAUGCUGAAGAUAAGCAUACAUCACAGUAGCAAGAGAAGGAUCAACAGUUUUAAUUUUUUGUUUUCUCUCUCCCAUUUCACAAUAACCCUCUUAGUUUUCUUUAUCAAAGGUCCUCUGAAAUAAAUAAUGCAGUUCUUUGCCAUGACUGUCUUUGGCACAUAAAAGAUGUCACUGUAAAAUUUCUUUCAUGAUGCUACAGGUUGAGCUCUUUAAGUGAGCAACACUAGGCUAGUUGGAAGCUUAUCAAGGAUUCAUCAGUGGAGAAAUAUCCUUUUGAUAAUACAUGUAAUAAAAUUACUUGAAGUGCUUAGACUUAGGUCUUGUUUAUUAAACAUGAGUGGAGGUUUCAGGCAUCCUUGUAAACUUUCUUCUGUUUCAGGACUUGCUCAUAAAUUGCUGAGAGGCACGUGUGUCGCAAUGAAACUUUGCCGUCUUUAAGUCUGAGGUGCUCUGUCUCAGGCAUAAAGAACAAUACACAACAAUUGUUUGCCGUUAUCUUAAUCUAAAGCUGUAGUUUCAUUGAAAAUGAACAGGCCAUGACUUUUUACCAAAUGCUUCCAGCCUUCCCUUAUCUGAUAGACCAUCUUUUGGAAACAACCAGGUGGAUGUUAAUGGGUGAAAUAAUUCACUAAAAACAGUUAAUUCAAAAUCAUUGUUUUGGCAUCCAAAUCCAAAAGCCUUUUUACUGUUUCUAAUGUUGAAUCACACUACAGAUCUUUGAGAAAGUUGGUAACAUUACAGUUCAUUUAAAGAAAAUGUUGUGGGUACAUCUCCUUUCUGGUUUAUUUAGCUUAUUCUUUAUAACAGUUUUUUUAAUUAGAGAACAUUCCUGUAUGAAUGAUUCAUGGUGCCCUCUUUUCUCCCCACCUUCUACCUUUUUAGAUCAUGAAUCGGUUCAGUGGUGUUAUGACAACUUCAUUAACUACAGGUCCCUGAUGUCCGCAGACAAUGUACGCCAGCAGCUAUCUCGAAUUAUGGACAGAUUUAAUUUGCCUCGUCGAAGUACUGACUUUACAAGCAGGGACUAUUAUAUUAAUAUAAGAAAAGCUUUGGUUACUGGGUAUUUUAUGCAGGUGGCACAUUUAGAACGAACAGGGCAUUACUUAACUGUGAAAGAUAACCAGGUGGUUCAGUUGCAUCCCUCUACUGUUCUUGACCACAAACCUGAAUGGGUGCUUUAUAAUGAGUUUGUUCUAACAACAAAGAAUUACAUCCGGACAUGUACAGAUAUCAAGCCAGAAUGGUUGGUGAAAAUUGCCCCUCAAUAUUAUGACAUGAGCAAUUUCCCACAGUGCGAAGCAAAGAGACAGUUGGACCGCAUCAUUGCCAAACUUCAAUCCAAGGAAUAUUCACAGUACUGAAUUCAGUGCUUAGAACUGAAGUUAUUGAGAGGACAGCUUUAAAAGAUGAAUGAACUCAAAAGUUCGAGUUGUGCUCUUCACGUUGGUUCGAUAAUGGCCUUUAUUUGAAAGCUUUUUAAUUUUUCUUUACAGUAAAUAUUCCAUUCUGAUUUCAUAAAUUAAACAUUUAUGCCUCCCUUUUGUGUUGACACUGUAGCUCAUACUGGAAAAGUCGAUCAAUGUUUUGCAGUUUAUUGAAAGUAGUUCUAUAUAUAACAAUGUUAUAAGCAUUUCUUUAGAAAUGGUUGAAAAUGCUUCUAAAAUGUGAUUAUCGACCAUGGUAUGCAUGAUCGUUGUAAUUGUUGACAUUCCUUUUAGAAGUUGUGAAAUGUUACAACUUGUGCUUAUGUAGACACAAUCUUCUGUCUCAGUACAGAGGCACUGACUUCAAUAAAGUCUAUUUAUACU
rnacentral:sRNA from 1 species